GUGAAGAGGAAGCAUCUGUUUUCCACCCUCCGCGGCCACCUCACUCUUGCCAGCGCGCCUUCCUCUCGCUGUGGGGGUGACGUGAGCGCAGUGGGUGGAUGUCAGGAUCUGAGAGUCAGGAC
rnacentral:precursor_RNA from 8 species